AUGCUCGCUUUGGCAGCACAUAGGCUAAAAUUGGAAUGAUACAGAAAAGAUUAGCAUGGCCCACGUGCAAGUAUGACACGAAAUUUGUGAAACAUUCUAUAAACAA
ensembl:snRNA U6 U6 spliceosomal RNA